UUAAACCGGUAUUGUCGGAGGUGCUAAUUCCUGCACCAACAAUUAGUCCCCCCCCAGUUCGGCGAAUCCGAGUUGCUUAAUUCGAAAUUUCCGAACUUAGAAAUUGAAUAUUCGAUUUAAAUCUUGGAAAGCGUGAAUU
rnacentral:sRNA from 1 species